rnacentral:lncRNA from 1 species
CCGGCCGGCAUUCUUUGCAGACAGCUCUGGGAUGUCUAGGUGGGCUGGUACAGAGAAAAGAAUAUGAGCUUUAGAGACAGUCAGACAAACCUGGGCUCAAGCCCUUCUGCUGCCAUUUGUGAUGUACUUACUUAAUCUGACUCUGAGUUUGUUUUCAUUCUCUUCUGUAAAAUGGAAAUAAUCAUAUAGUCUCGGGAGGAUCAUUGUGAGGAUCAAGUAAGACAAUGUGUGGUGAGUCUCCAGCAUAGUGCCUCACAAUCGUUCUGUGGAUUUGGAAUAGAGGCGGCAGGAGUGGCUUGCCACUGUUCCAUGAUAUCUCGUGCCUGGAUAGCUGGGAGUGACACAGCAGUUGGGUGAUAAAAAUCAUCUGAAGGCUCCUUCACUCACAUGCCUGGUGCCUGGCCUGGGAGCACUUGAACGUGAGCACCAUUGACUAGAGCACCCAUCCAGGGCCUCUCCUUGUGGUGUGGCUUCCUCGCAGCAUGGCGACCUCGGGGUAAUCGGACUUCUAACAUGGAAGCUCGGAGUUCCCAGUGCAAGUGCUUCAGGAGGCAACACAGAAGCUCCACGGCCUUUUAUGACCUGAAGUUGUGCAGCAUCACUUCCACUGCAUUCUAUUGGUGGCAGUCAAGUCACAGAUUCAAGGGAAGGAGAAUUAGACUCCAUGUCUUAAGGGGUUAGUGGCAAGGUUCUAGAAGAGCCUGGAUGGGAGAUGUUGUGAUCUCUUCAUCUUUGGAAAAUAUAAUUGGAAAAUAUAAUCGGAAAAUAUAAUCGGGAUUCAUGUUGCAGAAUUUGAAGUCACACGUGGUCAGUGCUCUGCACUUUGCAAACAAAGUCCAGGAGGGGAAAAAUCUUUUCUCAUGGAGGUGAAUCUGGUUGCAUUCUAGCCAAACCUGGAAAGAUGAGACAGACAAGCAGGAACUAAAUUAGGCAGAGGAGACUGCGUUUUAAUACACGGGGGUAAGAAAGUAUGGGAAAAUGUGACCACAGCCUUGAACCUACGGGAUUGGAGAGGGGCUUGGGGUGGAAGGAGACAAGCUCGAAAUGUAGAUGGAGGCCGAAUUUGUUUGAGCAUUUGACUGACAAAGCGAAGGACCAGAAAAGCUGCUUCUCUCAGUGCCUCCUGCCAUCCCCCUCCCCUCAGUAGUCCCUCUACAUUUAAAAAUCUUAUUAGUAUCACUUUAAAUCAGGUGAGCACUCCUUUGCUCUUUUGGAUGUACUUAGGCAUAAAUGUACUUUGCUAUCUCUUGGGUUCUCAUUUUCACACUAUUACAUCUUUGUGUACUUUAUCUCGGCCCCGCCCUACAGCUUUGAUUUUUC